rnacentral:lncRNA from 1 species
AAUUGAGUCCGACUACGAGGAGUUUGUUACGUGGUUCAUGGAACCAAGUUCGAUGUAACAUCUGACCUAAGUCAAAAGAUUGAAAUCAAUGCGAUCGAUAGCAUCGCGCUCGUUGUUAAGGAAGCUUGUAGCUAGAAAUGCUACAUGUAAAAAUGUGAUUAUAUCACGUUAGAAUAUGAAAGAAGGUAUAUUCCAUUCUGGAAUUUGACUCUAAGAUACUUGAGUCUAAGCGUUGCAUCAUACGAUGAGAGGUCAUUAGAACAUGACCCAUCGAUUUGUUACAAUAGAUAAAUGAAAGUAUUUAUCCUGAGCAGAAGAAGGAGUCCACAAUAAGGACUUAUUUUGUAACAUGGAAAUUAUGAUUGAAAGUAGAACAUAGUACGAUAAGAAGAUGCAAGAUUGGGCAUCGUCUGCGGUCAAGAAAACCAUAGAGUUAAAUACUCUUUCGAGGAAAACAUAGAAGUUACGGUUAUUACUUAGGAUGGAGAGAUAGCGUAUGGAGUCAGUAUACGAAUCCUGUUUCGUUGAUGAUUCCGGGACGUAAUCAUCCUAAGGGGGAGAUAAUUGUAACGCCCGUAGAUUAGGGCUAGUCAAUUUAGAGACGAUAAGCAUCAAAAAUGACUUUUUGAUGGAAGAUUAUUUAGAAGGAUUAAUCUUAACCAAGUUGUAGUAUAUGUCACAAGGUUUCCGUGCAUAUAAAGAAUGCCGAAAUCUGAGUUAUAACGAAGAAGUUAUGACCUGUCGAAGUUUCGCGACAGAACCGGCACGACCUAGCGCGACCCAGCGCGACGUAAAUAGUGAAUUUAAGGUAGAUAGAUAUCUAUCCUUAGUGAUCUAAACGAGAGUCGAAGAUUUCUUCGAUAGUAGUCCAACGAUAAAAAGACAGACGAAAACAGAGUUCAGAUGAAGGAGUUAUGAGUUUAUAACGGAGUUUUCCUGUCCCGGCCUACUAAAGAUAAUAUAUAAGUAAUAUACUUAUAAUAUAUUCCGAGUUAUAACGAAGAAUUUAUAACCUGUCGAAGUUUCGCGACAGAACCGGCACGACCUAGCGCGACCCAGCGCGACGUAAAUAGUGAAUUUAAGGUAGAUAGAUAUCUAUCCUUAGUGAUCUAAACGAGAGUCGAAGAUUUCUUCGAUAGUAGUCCAACGAUAAAAAG